GGUUGAAAUUUUGCAGGGUUGUUGAAAUCAAAUUUAGGGACUUUACUGACGGGACUCUGGGCUGGCUGCUCUGUUCACUCGUCAGCGCAAGUGGCGUGACCAUGUAAUUGGGGCACGGGGCCGGCGCGGCGCGCUGCGGGCUUGCAGAAUUUUGUUUGUUUGUUUGGCCGCGCGCUGGCGCAGCCACGGGCCGCAGUUACUGGGGCGCGCUGUCGUAACAAGCCGCGCGGUGUGGCCUGCACAUCGGGGUAGAGGGGGGGUAGUCUUCCCAGAUGUUCUAGUUAGUUGUUUAGUAAAUUUGACUUCAAUAACGAGCUUUUGUUAUGCUAGGCGCGGCAGGGCGCGCGAAUUUAAGCGCAAGUGAUUGGUGACUCGGGGCUCACUCAGGCGGAGGCUAUGCGUCUCACCUGUGGUCACGAGUUGUUAGUUCGUUCGUGAUGUAGGAAUUCAAGCUUUCGGGCGGAGGCUAUGGCCCUCGUCAGGGGUCACGCGUCAUAGUUUUUAAAAUGUAAUGUUCGUUCGGGAUUUCAAGGGCAGGAGAGGCCCCUACGUUAUUUUUUUAAAGUAAUCGAUCAAGAAAGGCUUUUCGGAAAAUGUGAGUAUGGACUUAUCUUUGUUUUAAUUUUAAGUAUUAAUUAUGAUUUGAGGUAUUCGGAAGGACUAGGGAAGUGUUUAGUGAAGUUCUCUCAUUCUCUCUCUUGUAAGGUCGUUCAAUCGUUAAGGAAGUAAAGAGAUUAUUGUUUUAAAUUGUAAUCCCGCUAUUUAAAUGUUCUUUAAAAUGAUGUUGAGUAUUUGACUUUAAGAAUAAAAUAAUUUUAAUUAAGUAUUAUGUUAUUUUGCAAAAUCUCCUUAGUUCAGCUCUCACCAGACAUCCUGUACGGGAUGACGAACCUAUGAUCCUAGGUACAGUAAAGUAUUUUAUGAAGUUAAGACUAGUUGAUGCCAAGCGAGUUGUUUCUAUGUAAAGAGCUACGAUUCUCUCCCCCCUCUGAAAGUGGAUCGUGACAGAAAUGGCGGUGGCACCGGCUAGGUGUUCGUGAUAGAAAUGGUAGAGUUCGCCGGAUAGGUUCUAUUUCUGGAGAGAGAGAGAGGUAGAUUUUUAUGUUUAUUAUUAAGUUAGUUUCAGCUUCUGAUAGCAGGUUAUUAAGAGUUUACUUGAGGAGAGGAUUACGGAAUUUAAUCUAAGUGGAGGAAGUCUUUGAGAUUUUUUUUUUGACGUAACAGAUGUUUAUUUGAGUAUACUUGUAAGGAUAAAGUUUAUAGUGAUAAGUUGUUUUAAGUCGUUGAGUUUAUCAGGGAUUUUUACGUGAGGAGAAUACGUUAUAAUUUAAAUGAUUAAUAGAGAUAAUGCAAGUGGUUUAAUUUAAUUGAAGUUCAUUUUAAGAUUGUAGGUUAAGAGAAUUAUAAUUUAAAAUAAAGUUUUUUGUCGUAAAUAGGAAUUAUUUUCAAGAGAAGUUUGUUUUGCUGUCGUGCGCGUAGGAGACGAGACGUACGAAUUAAAUCAGUCGAGGGAAGGAUAAACGUUAGAAAGGAAUUAAAAAGAAAACGAGAGUUUAUGUAAAAGAGAGUUAUAGAAUUUAUAGUGAUGUUUUGUUUUAAUUAGAAAAAUGUUGAGAGUUGUUUCAGAACGACACGUCAGUGGACGUGGCAGAAUGAACACGUGACGGGGAGGUGCUGAGACCUAGCGGAGAACGGAGGAACCGCAAGCGAGGGUUGGCGCACCUGAUGGAAUUCGGUGACGUCACGGGCUCAUAAGGAGACGUGGACAGGCCGUGACCUUGUUUUGAUCAGCUGUACGGUAACUUAGCGAUAAGAAAAUAGACUAUUGGUUAAAUAAAUUUAAAUUUAAGUGUGUUUUAGGAGAAGAGGAACUUUCAGUAUAUUCCUUAAGAUGAGCUGAGCAGCAGUCCAGUUUACAAGAUGACAAGAGUUCGAGAGACAAGAUACAAGAUCACUGAAACAAGAGCCAAGACUGAAGAUACAAGAGAAGAGAAAGCUGGCAGCCAUGGACUUACAAGUGGAGAUUAAUAAGGUCAUGUAAAGUUUUAUUUUUUUAUGGAAGACAGUAACUGGAGUUUUUUUGUUAUAAACAUUAUUUACAGAACUUUUUAGGUUAUAGUAAUGUAAUGGAACUAGUGAGUUGUGGUAGCUGUCAAAAAGAACUAAUACCUUAAGUUUAAUUUUUAAAGUUAAUUUUCUUAAUUUACAGAGGGAUUAGUAGUUUUUUUUAAACCUUAUUUAGGUUGGAAUUUAAAUACAAUAGCUUAUUAUAAAUGUGUACGAACAGUUCAAGUUCACAGUACUGAUAGGUAGGUCAGAUGAUCUUAUUGAUUUUGAUGAUUUGUUGUUUUGAGUUGAUUUUUAAGUGUUGUGAAUUAGACAAUGAAAUAGUUCUGAAAACUUAAAUUAUUUCAAGCUAAGAAAUAGUAAAGUUAAUUGUAACUCAAAGGACACCAGAAUUUAAUUUUUUUUUGAAUUAGUAAUGUUUGAAAAUUUUAUACUUUACAAGAAAGGUUAUAAACAAACAGAUCGGAUGGAACAAGGAUGCAGUAAAUCACAAUUUCAUUUAGAAUUAUUGAUUUGCUUUUGAGGUUAUGAAGGAAAAGUAGCUAUAAUUUAAAAAUUUGAAUAAAAAUGUUUUUUUUUAUUUGUUUGAAAUAGAAAGUUUAAAAGUUAAUUAGUCAUGAUCUAGGUGGGUGAUGGGGUGGGAAUUGGCCACUCUUUUUCCCUAUAACCUCCCUAACAUGGCCUUCUAUUACAACUAACAGAAAUAAAGAAGAAGAAAAA